ensembl:snoRNA
AUUCUUUAGUAGUUCAUAAUGCUAUGAUUGGGUUUUCAUGUGCACAUGUAAGAUGUGCCUGUCUCAAACCUUGUUGUGACAUCAGCACGUUACCCAUCUGAUG